rfam:Rattus norvegicus chromosome 10, whole genome shotgun sequence.
UGAAAUAAAACAAAAAAAUCAACAAGAAAAAUAACAGCACCACCCCAAAACUCAGUGUGGGUGCUUCCCAAAGCUGCACGCCCAGUAGAGGAGGAUGACCUCCCUCAAAACAGAAGGACAUGUCUAAUUAGGUCAAGGGUAUAGGAAGAGCUGUGGUUUUCUGCUAGAGCCUCAUAACAAGCUCUCAGGGGAUUUGCAUUAUUUUAUAGCAGUAAAGACACAGUGAUUCUGUAU